rnacentral:rRNA from 1 species
UACAGAGGGGGCAAGCGUUGUUCGGAAUUACUGGGCGUAAAGGGCGCGUAGGCGGCCUUCUAAGUCGAACGUGAAAUCCCUGGGCUCAACCCAGGAACUGCGUCCGAGACUGGGAGGCUCGAAUCCGGGAGAGGGAUGUGGAAUUCCAGGUGUAGCGGUGAAAUGCGUAGAUAUCUGGAGGAACAUCGGUGGCGAAGGCGGCAUCCUGGACCGGUAUUGACGCUGAGGCGCGAAAGCCAGGGGAGCAAACGGGAUUAGAAA